GAUGAAGAACGUAGUGAAAUGCGAUAAGUAAUGUGAAUUGCAGAAUUCAGUGAAUCAUCGAAUCUUUGAACGCACCUUGCGCCCUUUGGCUAUUCCGAAGGGCAUGCCUGUUUGAGUAUCGUGAACACCUCAACUCUCAUGGUUUGCCAUGAUGAGCUUGGACUUUGGGGGUUUUGCUGGCCUUUGGUCGGCUCCUCUCAAACGGAUCAGCUUUCCAGUUUUUGGUGGCGUCACGGGUGUGAUAACUAUCUACGCCUGUGGUUUUCUGCCAGAUAACCUUCAGCGAUGGAGGUUCGCUGGGGCUCAUAAAUGUCUCUCUUCAGUGGAGACAGCUUUUUGGACGUUUGAUCUCAAAUCAGGUAGGACUACCCGCUGAACUUAAGCAUAUCAAUAAGCGGAGGA
rnacentral:misc_RNA from 1 species